CCUACGGGCGGCAGCAGUGGGGAAUAUUGGACAAUGGGCGAAAGCCUGAUCCAGCCAUGCCGCGUGUGUGAAGAAGGCCUUCGGGUUGUAAAGCACUUUCAGUGGGGAAGAAAGCCUUGGGGCUAAUACCCUCGAGGAAGGACAUCACCCACAGAAGAAGCACCGGCUAACUCCGUGCCAGCAGCCGCGGUAAUACGGAGGGUGCGAGCGUUAAUCGGAAUUACUGGGCGUAAAGCGCGCGUAGGCGGUCUGAUAAGCCGGUUGUGAAAGCCCCGGGCUCAACCUGGGAACGGCAUCCGGAACUGUCAGGCUAGAGUGCAGGAGAGGAAGGUAGAAUUCCCGGUGUAGCGGUGAAAUGCGUAGAGAUCGGGAGGAAUACCAGCGGCGAAGGCGGCCUUCUGGACUGACACUGACGCUGAGGUGCGAAAGCGUGGGUAGCAAACAGGAUUAGAUACCCGAGUAGUC
rnacentral:rRNA from 1 species